UACGUAGGGUGCAAGCGUUGUUCGGAAUUACUGGGCGUAAAGCGCAUGUAGGCGGCAGCGCAAGUCGGGCGUGAAAUCCCACGGCUCAACCGUGGAAGUGCACUCGAAACUGCGCAGCUAGAGUCCUGGAGAGGAAGGUGGAAUGCUUGGUGUAGAGGUGAAAUUCGUAGAUAUCAAGCGGAACACCGGUGGCGAAGGCGGCCUUCUGGACAGUGACUGACGCUGAGAUGCGAAAAGCGUGGGGGAGCAAACAGG
rnacentral:rRNA from 1 species